AUUGCGUUUGUGAUACGAGUGUCGUGUUUUUUAAAUUUUUAUGAAUUAUUUAAGUAAUGCAAAUAUGUUUGCGGUAUAACGUAUAAAAUGUAAAAAUCAAGGAAUAUUUCUUUGUCAUUUGAGUCCAUCGUUACCAGAAUCCUGAUUGUAAAUGGCUGAGAUUCAGAGUCUACUACCAGUGAUAAAUAUUUAAAAUAAGGGCGACCACUAUCAGUGCAGUAUAUGCCAAAAAAGGACCUCAUUUGUCUAGUUGUAUCUGUGGUAUCUGUGAAUGGAUUCGAAAGAGAACAAGAUUAAGCAAUAACCAUUGAAGCUUAUUUCAAUACUGAUGGAAGUGGCUGCAUAAACCUAGAUAUGAUGAAAUGAUGAUUUGAAAUAAAGGAUUCUAACUACAGUCAGCAAAGACGACAUAAACAUUAUUUAUUUAUAUUUUUAUUAAUUGUUUAAAUAUUAGGCGUCUUACAUAUUGUUUUCUUCAGAAAUUAAUGAUACCAUUAGUUUCUUCUUCUAAAAAAAGUUAACUAUUGACAUUUUAUUGAAUAAAACAUUAAAACUUUAAUAAGUA